rnacentral:rRNA from 1 species
AUUGAACGCUGGCGGCAGGCCUAACACAUGCAAGUCGAACGGCAGCGGGGGAUAGCUUGCUAUCCUGCCGGCGAGUGGCGGACGGGUGAGUAAUGCAUGGGGAGCUGCCCAGUCGAGGGGGAUAACAACUGGAAACGGUUGCUAAUACCGCAUACGCCCUAAGGGGGAAAGGUGGGGAACUUCGGUCCUACCGCGAUUGGAUGCGCCCAUGUGGGAUUAGCUAGUUGGUGAGGUAACGGCUCACCAAGGCGACGAUCUCUAGCUGGUCUGAGAGGAUGACCAGCCACACUGGAACUGAGACACGGUCCAGACUCCUACGGGAGGCAGCAGUGGGGAAUAUUGCACAAUGGGGGAAACCCUGAUGCAGCCAUGCCGCGUGUGUGAAGAAGGCCUUCGGGUUGUAAAGCACUUUCAGUCAGGAGGAAGGUGGUAAGGCUAAUAUCCUUAUCAAUUGACGUUACUGACAGAAGAAGCACCGGCUAACUCCGUGCCAGCAGCCGCCGUAA